rnacentral:rRNA from 1 species
AGCGAACGCUGGCGGCAUGCUUAACACAUGCCAGUCGCACGGGCAGCACUGUCAGUGGCGGACGGGUGAGUAGCGCGUCGGAACGUGUCCUGGGGAGGGGGAUAACCCCGGGUAAGUGGGGACAAUACCGCACAUGGGCUGAUGCCCAAUGCCGGCUGGCGCCUUUGGAGCGGCCUGCGUCAGAUUCGGUGGUUGGUGGGGGACAGGCCUACCAAGCCUGCGAUCGGUAGCUGGUGGGAUACGAGGGCCCGCCACACUGGCGCUGAGGCACGGCCCACAAUCCUACGCAACGGAGCAGAGUGGAAUACUGGAGAAUGGGCGAUAGUCUGGUAAAGCCGCGCCGCGUGGGUGGAGAAGGUGUUCGUAUCGUAAAGCCCUUUCGACGGAAGCGAUGGUGACGGUACCCGUAGAAGAAGCCCCGGCUAACUACGUG